AAGAGCACUGCAAGACCCUCACUCACAACACCACACCGGAAGCGCAGGCAACCUUUCCUCCCCUCCCAGCCGCUGGUCACCGCGGGGCCGAAGCCCCCGGAGCCCUCCACAGCGGUGGGAACCGUCCAGAGCCGCCUCCCCAGCCCAGCCAGGGCGGCAGCGUGUGCCCAGGAACCCGGGCGCCCAGCAACAGCGUCACAAUCCCUCCGUCCUGUGUGAGCACGCGAGGAACGGCCGUCUACACCUGACUCCGGGUAGCCGGAGGUCCCACUCCUGUCUCGCUCGCGGCUUUGGCAGAGUGGCUGGACUGGACACGGGUUCUGCGCCUUCAGCGACGCCGGGCAGCUAAGGCCGGGUCUUCCCGCCUCUCUGAGGUGGUGGCUUGCCGUCGCAGUCUCCAAACUCCGAUUCCUGAACCCGUGUUGGACAUCCCCUUGCGUUUCCUACCAGGGAGUCGACACCUUUACGCCCAACGGAGCUGACAAAAGCCGGCAGCUCAGGGGGCGGCUCCCAGGUCUGAUCAGGAAGAGAUCAACAGGAAGACAAAACGGAAGUGAGGCCGGAAGCCGACUCCUGGAGGCCCUGCCAGGGCACGUGCAGCUCCUACAGACUCCUGGGACCUCACCUGCCAGCGCACCUGAAGCCUUACCUGGGCUGGGGGAGGCUCUGUGAGGCCCCGCUGGUCACCUAACUGCUGGUUGGGAUUCUAUCCCGGCCUCCAUGGGGUGAGGGUGUGGUGGCUGUGCUGGGGAAGUCCCCAAGCUCCUGCCCACUGAGCCCAUCACCUGCCCAAGUGCUUUUUUUAAAAAAAUUUAUUCUAUUUAUUUUAAAUAAUAAAGCAUGUAGGAGAGAUCUUCCAUCUGCUGGUUCACUCCCCAAAUGGCUACGAAGGUCAGGGCUGGGCCAGGCGGAAGCCAGGAGCCAGGAGCUUCUCUGGCGUGGGAGCAGGGGCCCAGCACUUGGGCCCAGCACUUCCACUGCUUUCCCAGCCACGUUAGCAGGGAGCUGAUCGAACAUGGAGCAGUGGGGACUGGAGCUGGCACUUACAUGGGAUCCCAGCGUGGCAGGCAGCCGGCCCCCAUAACCUCCUCACCGUGCUGAUCCGAUGGCAGGAGCCAGGUGCUUCUCCUGGUCUCCCAUGCGGGUGCAGGGCCCAAGCACUUGGGCCAUCCUCCACUGCCUUCCUGGGCCACAGCAGAGAGCUGGCCUGGAAGAGGUACAACCGGGACAGAAUCUGGCGCCCCGACCGGGACUAGAACCCGGUGUGCCAGCGCCGCUAGGUGGAGGAUUAGCCUAUUGAGCCGCGGCGCCGGCCUCUAUUUGUUAAGUAUGGAAUAGCUCAGGGUUCUGGCCUUUCGUACCCCAGGAAAGGAGAGAUGGAA